CCUACGGGUGGCAGCAGUGGGGAAUAUUGGGCAAUGGACGAAAGUCUGACCCAGCAACGCCGCGUGAAUGAUGAAGGCCUUCGGGUUGUAAACUUCUUUUCUCAGGGAAGAAGAAAGUGCCGGUACCUGAGGACUAAGCCUCGGCUAACUACGUGCCAGCAGCCGCGGUAAUACGUAGGUGGCAAUCGUUAUCCGGAUUUACUGGGUGUAAAGGGUGCGUAGGUGGGAUGGCAAGUCAGAUGUGAAACUCAGGGGCUCAACCUGUGCACUGCAGCUGAAACUGUUGGACUUGAGUACAGGAGAGGCAGACGGAAUUCCUAGUGUAGCGGUGAAAUGCGUAGAUAUUAGGAGGAACACCAGUGGCGAAGGCGGUUUGCUGGACUGCAACUGACACUGAGGCGCGAAAGCGUGGGGAGCAAACAGGAUUAGAUACCCUGGUAGUC
rnacentral:rRNA from 1 species